GUGGGGAAUAUUGGACAAUGGGCGAAAGCCUGAUCCAGCCAUGCCGCGUGUGUGAAGAAGGUCUUCGGAUUGUAAAGCACUUUAAGUUGGGAGGAAGGGCAGUAAGUUAAUACCUUGCUGUUUUGACGUUACCGACAGAAUAAGCACCGGCUAACUUCGUGCCAGCAGCCGCGGUAAUACGAAGGGUGCAAGCGUUAAUCGGAAUUACUGGUCGUAAAGCGCGCGUAGGUGGUUUUGUAAGUUGGAGGUGAAAUCCCCGGGCUCAACCUGGGAACUGCCUCCAAAACUGCAUGACUAGAGUACGGUAGAGGGUAGUGGAAUUUCCUGUGUAGCGGUGAAAUGCGUAGAUAUAGGAAGGAACACCAGUGGCGAAGGCGACUACCUGGACUGAUACUGACACUGAGGUGCGAAAGCGUGGGGAGCAAACAGGAUUAGAAACCCGAGUAGUCC
rnacentral:rRNA from 1 species